rnacentral:misc_RNA from 1 species
GUAUUUCAAUGCGAUUAUCGCAAGUGUACAUCCUAAUACUGAUGUUUGUUAAAGAGUACAUAGAGAGACUAGCAAAGUCACCAUGGGUAACCCACUAAAAUGUCAAUCUAUGAAAGGUGCACAGAGGUAUGUGGAUGAAUUAACAAAGCGUGCACAUGCCUAGAAGGCCAGCGACAACUAUGUGAUUGAAUUCAUUAAUGAUCCUUCCGCAGGUUCACCUACGGAAA